rnacentral:rRNA from 1 species
UACGAGGGGUCCUAGCGUUGUUCGGAAUCACUGGGCGUAAAGCGUAUGUAGGCGGACUUUUAAGUCAGGUGUGAAAUCCCACGGCUCAACCGUGGAAUUGCAUUUGAAACUGGAAGUCUUGAGUGUGGGAGAGAUUGGUAGAAUACCUGGUGUAGUGGUGAAAUACGUAGAUAUCAGGUGGAAUACCGGUGGCGAAGGCGGCCAAUUGGCCCAACACUGACGCUGAGAUACGAAAGCGUGGGGAUCAAACAGG